rnacentral:lncRNA from 1 species
AUUGUGGCCCAGGAAGUGACCCUGGGGCCCUAGCAUUGUCCCUCCUGUGUCCCACCUGGCCAGCGAUGCAGGAAAACAGGCAGAAGUGACCACUUCUUUAUGAUGCUGUGUGGCCAUGUCAGAAAAAGGAGAGGGAUGUGGUAUGCACCAGCUGUCUAAGCCCAGCAAGUGCCUAGCAAUCAGGACAGGUAGCCAAGUGACCGGAGGCCUACCCUGUAGCCCAUGGCCUGUGGCCUUUCCAGCCUCAGGUCCAGUCACACAGAGGUCAGCACACGGCCAGGAAGUGAGUGGGUCCAUCUUUGGGUUUCUCUGUUGAGUCACACCCAAGGGUGCUACCAGGGAGCUGCCUGGGUGUGGCUGCCCUCCGGUGGUCAGCCAAGGUGCUGCUCCUGCCUGUCUCCUGCACGAAGCCCUCCCUGCCACCAGAGGGCGCAGGAGUGCCUGUCCUCUGCGCUGACCCUGUCGAUUCAAUUGUCUGUCUAUAUGAGCCCCAGACAUGAAGUGGCUGUUACUUGACAAAGAGCCUGCCCUGUACCAAUGAUACCUGGACUUGUUCCUUGGACCUUCACAGCACCCCCACCCGGGUGCCACAUCCAGGUUGCUCCCAUCUUACAGUUAAGGAAACUGAGGCAUCAGAAGGAGCUGGUGCCUUCCAGCAAGGGCCAUAGGGCACGUGUGGGAGGAGCUAGCGGGAUGGUGGAAUACACCUGCAGCUUGUUGCUUUCUGAGGUACCUGGGUGUCGGUCUGGCUGGUUGGAGGUAGGGACACCCAUGACAUCAGGAGGCCUUCUAGUAAAUGUGGGCAUCCUCCUAUAGCCUAUUGCUAAGGGAAGUUUUCUUAUCCAUUUAUUAAGAGUUGAGCCCCGGGCUGAGUAAUGGCUCCGUAGUUAAGAGCACUGGCUGCUCUUCCAGAGGACCAGGGUUCAAUUACCAGCAACCACAUGGCAGCUCACAACUGUCUGUAGCUCCAAUUCCAGGAGAUCUGGCGCCUUCACAGGUAUACAUGCAGGCAAACCACCGAUGCACAUAAAAUAAAAUAAAUAAAAUUUAAAAAGACUUGACUCCGCCCCCAUGGGACUCCGACCCCAUGCUGGGAGUGGUGGGAU